rnacentral:rRNA from 1 species
GACGAACGCUGGCGGCGUGCCUAAUACAUGCAAGUCGAGCGCAGAAGCCCGGCACUUGUACCAAGUGCGUGAGCAGCGAACGGGUGAGUAACGCGUGGAGAAUCUGCCUAUGAGCGGGGGACAACAUGGGGAAACGAGCGCUAAUACCGCAUAAAAUCUUUAAACACAAGGUUUAAGAGUGAAAGACGGAAUUGCAUCACUCAAUGACGAUCUCGCGGUGUAUUAGCUAGUUGGUGAGGUAAAGGCGCACCAAGGCGAUGAUACAUAGCCGACCUGAGAGGGUGGUCAGCCACACUGGGACUGAGACACGGCCCAAACGCCUUCAGGAAGGAGCAGGACGGAAUCGUCGGGAAUGGGCGGAAGUCUGACCGAACAACGCCGCGGGAGGGGAUAAGGUUGUCGGGUGCGAAAAGUCUGUUGGUGGGGAAGAACGUUGGUUGGAGUGGAAAGCUCAUCGAGUGACGGUAACUACUCAGAAAGCAACGGCUAACUACGUG